rnacentral:lncRNA from 1 species
UCAGAGGAAGGUCUCAGACUUGCUCCCGCAAUUCUUCAUUCUUGCUCAGAGUUGUAUAGACCGUACUUCUCAGACCUAGGGAUCCUGUUAACAUGAAGAUUCUUGUCUGAUGACAGUUCAUUAUGGUUGAUUCAAACUAAAACAAAGCCAAAUGGAAAU